CAGCCGCCGCGGUAAGACAGAGGAUGCAAGCGUUAUCCGGAAUGAUUGGGCGUAAAGGGCUCGCAGGCGGUUUCUUAAGUCUGAUGUGAAAGCCCCCGGCUCAACCGGGGAGGGUCAUUGGAAACUGGGAAACUUGAGUGCAGAAGAGGAGAGUGGAAUUCCACGUGUAGCGGUGAAAUGCGUAGAGAUGUGGAGGAACACCAGUGGCGAAGGCGACUCUCUGGUCUGUAACUGACGCUGAGGAGCGAAAGCGUGGGGAGCGAACAGGAUUAGAUACCCCUGUAGUCCCUGUCUCUUAUAC
rnacentral:rRNA from 1 species